ensembl:lncRNA
UCACACGAAUAAAGAUUUAUUGCAUAUAUAUGCAUAUUUGUUUGUACUAUCAGUACUAUUUUUCUUUAAUACAUUGUUAAAACUUGACUCACCGUGUUUACGAACUCUCAGGCAUCUGCUGCGGGCGUCCUCCCGUCACUAUGGCGACGACGCACGCGAGAUAGAAAACAAUCAGCUCUAAAAAGCGCCACAAUAGCGGAGCACGGUUAUCAGGAGGAAACGUCCCCAAAAGAAACUAUGAGGCAGCUCAAGGUGAUCUCCUGUUCUGCAAAACAGAAUCGUCCCUAAAUUGUUGCUUAUUCCAACCACUGCCCCAAUGCAAAUCCUCACUCGUCUUCAGGAAGGCUGGCAGAAGCCGCACAUCCAGCCUUUUGGGAACCUGUCCACACACCCAGGCUGUUCUUCCCUGCAUUGCGCUGCACAGUGUGAUCUACACUCUACGCAGCAGAAAUAGCUCUUGUCUACAGACUGCCAAAGGAGCUUGCAGAUAUUCUGGUGCAGAACAGGAGUUGUCACAUGCUCAUUGACACACAUCAUGAAGUGUAUAAAAGCCCUAAAUCAGAUAAUCUUCACUUCCAGUGAGCUGUUAACUCAAGAACCGCUGUGACUGGAUCAUUCAAUCAGUGAGUUGAACUCACAUCGAGUCAUUUCGUUCCAUAUGUUAACCUGAUGAUUCUGUUUAUUAUAUACUGACUCAAAAGAAUGAUU